GGCUCUCAGGCACGCGGACCGCCGUCCUCCAACAGCUCCUGGCGUCUGUUGGGGCAGUUGGCUUGGCUCCGGAAGACAGGAGCGCAUGCGCGAGCGCGGAGGUUGGGGCCCCAACGGCUGUCCGGCGGGGGCGGGGCCUGUCAUGGCCGCCUCUGGAGUCAAUUCCAGGAACCCUGAGUCUGAUACUCUCAGAUCAUGACGGAAUUGCAAGCAUAGUUUGGCUGGUGAUGCAAGAGUUCAGCAAAAAUCAACGAAAGGAUUAGGGAGUGCUGAUUCAGGUUAUUAAGGCUUUGCUUGAUGACAC